AGAGAGAGACAUGCGCGCAUAUCAAUAAGCGGAGGAAAAGAAACUAACAAGGAUUCCCCUAGUAACGGCGAGUGAAGCGGGAAGAGCUCAAGUUUGAAAUCUUAAAGGGUUUCCCUUUACGAAUUGUAGUUUGAAGAAGUGUUUUCUGUUGAGGUUUUGGUAAAAGUUCUUUGGAAUAGGACAUCAUAGAGGGUGAGAAUCCCGUAUUUGACCUUUACUUUCAACUUUGUGAUACACUUUCAAAGAGUCGGAUUGUUUGGGAAUGCAGUCCAAAAUGGGUGGUAAAUUUCAUCUAAAGCUAAAUAUUGGCGAGAGACCGAUAGCGAACAAGUACCGUGAGGGAAAGAUGAAAAGAACUUUGAAAAGAGAGUUAAACAGUACGUGAAAUUGUCAAAAGGGAAGCGUUUGACACCAGUGUUGUUUUUCUGAGAAUCAAUUAAAGAACUGUUUAUGCUAAGUUGUUUAGACUUUAUCAGCUAACUGUUUAGUUUUGAGCUUUUCUUUAAUGCACUUUUCAGUUAACAAGUCAACAUCAAUUUCUUUUGCUGUAAAAAAGCUUGAGGAAGGUGGCUUGAGAUUCGUCUUAAGUGUUUAUAGCCUCUUGCCUAUGCAGUCGGAGAGAUUGAGGUCUGCAGCGUAGAUCCUUCGGGGCUAAAUGCAUUUGUGCUAAGUUAUAGCAUUUUAUAGACAACUUGUUGACUAUGAUUUGUCUUGUAGCUUACUCGCUUAUGUUAUUUUACCUACGCUUAGGAUGUUGAGCGCAUGUCUCUCUCU
rnacentral:rRNA from 1 species